rnacentral:rRNA from 1 species
UUAAGCGACUAAGCGUACACGGUGGAUGCCCUGGCAGUCAGAGGCGAUGAAGGACGUGCUAAUCUGCGAUAAGCGUCGGUAAGGUGAUAUGAACCGUUAUAACCGGCGAUUUCCGAAUGGGGAAACCCAGUGUGAUUCGUCACACUAUCAUUAACUGAAUCCAUAGGUUAAUGAGGCGAACCGGGGGAACUGAAACAUCUAAGUACCCCGAGGAAAAGAAAUCAACCGAGAUUCCCCCAGUAGCGGCGAGCGAACGGGGAGNNNNNNNNNNNNNNNNNNNNNNNNNNNNNNNNNNNNNNNNNNNNNNNCCAUCCUCCAAGGCUAAAUACUCCUGACUGACCGAUAGUGAACCAGUACCGUGAGGGAAAGGCGAAAAGAACCCCGGCGAGGGGAGUGAAAAAGAACCUGAAACCGUGUACGUACAAGCAGUGGGAGCACGCUUAGGCGUGUGACUGCGUACCUUUUGUAUAAUGGGUCAGCGACUUAUAUUCUGUAGCAAGGUUAACCGAAUAGGGGAGCCGAAGGGAAACCGAGUCUUAACUGGGCGUUAAGUUGCAGGGUAUAGACCCGAAACCCGGUGAUCUAGCCAUGGGCAGGUUGAAGGUUGGGUAACACUAACUGGAGGACCGAACCGACUAAUGUUGAAAAAUUAGCGGAUGACUUGUGGCUGGGGGUGAAAGGCCAAUCAAACCGGGAGAUAGCUGGUUCUCCCCGAAAGCUAUUUAGGUAGCGCCUCGUGAAUUCAUCUCCGGGGGUAGAGCACUGUUUCGGCAAGGGGGUCAUCCCGACUUACCAACCCGAUGCAAACUGCGAAUACCGGAGAAUGUUAUCACGGGAGACACACGGCGGGUGCUAACGUCCGUCGUGAAGAGGGAAACAACCCAGACCGCCAGCUAAGGUCCCAAAGUCAUGGUUAAGUGGGAAACGAUGUGGGAAGGCCCAGACAGCCAGGAUGUUGGCUUAGAAGCAGCCAUCAUUUAAAGAAAGCGUAAUAGCUCACUGGUCGAGUCGGCCUGCGCGGAAGAUGUAACGGGGCUAAACCAUGCACCGAAGCUGCGGCAGCGACGCUUAUGCGUUGUUGGGUAGGGGAGCGUUCUGUAAGCCUGCGAAGGUGUGCUGUGAGGCAUGCUGGAGGUAUCAGAAGUGCGAAUGCUGACAUAAGUAACGAUAAAGCGGGUGAAAAGCCCGCUCGCCGGAAGACCAAGGGUUCCUGUCCAACGUUAAUCGGGGCAGGGUGAGUCGACCCCUAAGGCGAGGCCGAAAGGCGUAGUCGAUGGGAAACAGGUUAAUAUUCCUGUACUUGGUGUUACUGCGAAGGGGGGACGGAGAAGGCUAUGUUGGCCGGGCGACGGUUGUCCCGGUUUAAGCGUGUAGGCUGGUUUUCCAGGCAAAUCCGGAAAAUCAAGGCUGAGGCGUGAUGACGAGGCACUACGGUGCUGAAGCAACAAAUGCCCUGCUUCCAGGAAAAGCCUCUAAGCAUCAGGUAACAUCAAAUCGUACCCCAAACCGACACAGGUGGUCAGGUAGAGAAUACCAAGGCGCUUGAGAGAACUCGGGUGAAGGAACUAGGCAAAAUGGUGCCGUAACUUCGGGAGAAGGCACGCUGAUAUGUAGGUGAAGUCCCUUGCGGAUGGAGCUGAAAUCAGUCGAAGAUACCAGCUGGCUGCAACUGUUUAUUAAAAACACAGCACUGUGCAAACACGAAAGUGGACGUAUACGGUGUGACGCCUGCCCGGUGCCGGAAGGUUAAUUGAUGGGGUCAGCGCAAGCGAAGCUCUUGAUCGAAGCCCCGGUAAACGGCGGCCGUAACUAUAACGGUCCUAAGGUAGCGAAAUUCCUUGUCGGGUAAGUUCCGACCUGCACGAAUGGCGUAAUGAUGGCCAGGCUGUCUCCACCCGAGACUCAGUGAAAUUGAACUCGCUGUGAAGAUGCAGUGUACCCGCGGCAAGACGGAAAGACCCCGUGAACCUUUACUAUAGCUUGACACUGAACAUUGAGCCUUGAUGUGUAGGAUAGGUGGGAGGCUUUGAAGUGUGGACGCCAGUCUGCAUGGAGCCGGCCUUGAAAUACCACCCUUUAAUGUUUGAUGUUCUAACGUGGACCCGUGAUCCGGGUUGCGGACAGUGUCUGGUGGGUAGUUUGACUGGGGCGGUCUCCUCCUAAAGAGUAACGGAGGAGCACGAAGGUUGGCUAAUCCUGGUCGGACAUCAGGAGGUUAGUGCAAUGGCAUAAGCCAGCUUGACUGCGAGCGUGACGGCGCGAGCAGGUGCGAAAGCAGGUCAUAGUGAUCCGGUGGUUCUGAAUGGAAGGGCCAUCGCUCAACGGAUAAAAGGUACUCCGGGGAUAACAGGCUGAUACCGCCCAAGAGUUCAUAUCGACGGCGGUGUUUGGCACCUCGAUGUCGGCUCAUCACAUCCUGGGGCUGAAGUAGGUCCCAAGGGUAUGGCUGUUCGCCAUUUAAAGUGGUACGCGAGCUGGGUUUAGAACGUCGUGAGACAGUUCGGUCCCUAUCUGCCGUGGGCGCUGGAGAACUGAGGGGGGCUGCUCCUAGUACGAGAGGACCGGAGUGGACGCAUCACUGGUGUUCGGGUUGUCAUGCCAAUGGCACUGCCCGGUAGCUAAAUGCGGAAGAGAUAAGUGCUGAAAGCAUCUAAGCACGAAACUUGCCCCGAGAUGAGUUCUCCCUGACCCUUUAAGGGUCCUGAAGGAACGUUGAAGACGACGACGUUGAUAGGCCGGGUGUGUAAGCGCAGCGAUGCGUUGAGCUAACCGGUACUAAUGAACCGUGAGGCUUAACCUU